rnacentral:lncRNA from 1 species
CUCUACUAAAAAUACAAAAAUUAGCCAGGCGUGGUGGUGGGUGCCUGUAAUCCCAGGUACUUGGAAGGCUGAGGCAGGAGAAUCUCUUGAACCCAGAAGGCGAAGGUUGCAGUGAACCGAGAUCAUGCCAUUGUACUCUAGCCUGGGUGACAAGAGCAAGACUCCGUCUCAAAAAAAAAAAAAAAAAAAAAAAGAAGUAGAGACAGGGAGACAGGGUCUCACUGUGUUGCCUAGGCCGGUCUUGAACUCCUGGGCUCAAGUGAUUCUCCCACCUUGACCUCCUAAAUUGUUGGGAUUACAGGUGUGAGACAGUGCACCUGGCCGAAAUAGCUCAAGUUUCUGAAAAACAAAUCUGAAUCUAUUUGUUAUUCUUAGCGUCACUGGUCUGGCUUUCAGAAUUAACAUACAAGGUUGCCACACCUAGUUCUGCCCAGCUUUAUGUCUUUUAUUCCAGUAUUCCACCAAAGUUUGUUUUCCUGCAUUCCAGUUCUCAAGUCUUAAGAUAAAGAUUGUACUUGACAGUUUAGUAUAUCCAUAAAACUAUUUGAGGUGGUUAAGGUUCUUGGGUUCAUUUUCCUUAAUACUUUGCUGAAUAUUGUAGAUUGUAGGCAAUGAAAAAGUCUACUAAAUUAGGAAAACCUUGAAUAAUUAGGUAUCCUAGGUAAGAGCCCCUAAACAUCAAGCAAUCUGUGAGUCUGUAAAGAAAUAAAUAUUUUUUGGAUUAUUCUUAUCUAAUUCCACCCCUGUUGGAAGAUGAUUUCUUUGUUCUUUGCAACUAUGGAAGCUGUGAAAAUCAUCACAAGUGCCUCUGAAAGCGAGUGUUAGGUUGGUUAGAGGGUUUAAUAUUUUCUGCAAUGGUUUGUAGGAAUUUUAAUAAAUGUAGUAUAUUUUCUGAGAUGAUUUUGUAAAAGUACUAUUUUAAAUAUCAAAUCAACCAAUAAAUUCACAUUUGUGUUAGGAACAGAAAUAUGGUUUAUAUCUUUGCUGGCUUGG